rnacentral:lncRNA from 12 species
ACCCCAAAAAAUGUCCCAAAAAUGUCCCAAAAAUACCCAAAAACGGCCCCAAAAAUACCCAAAAAAUGUCCCAAAAAAACCCAAAAACAGCCACGAAAACACCCAAAAAUCCGGCCCAAAAAUACCCCAAAAACGGCACCAGAAACCCCAAAAAAUGCCCCAAAAAUGCCCAAAAAAUGCCCCAAAAAUAGUCAAAAAAUGUCCCAAAAAUACCCAAAAAAUGUCCCAAAAAUACCCAAAAACAGCCACGAAAACACCCAAAAAUCCGGCCCAAAAAUACCCCAAAAACGGCACCAGAAGCCCCAAAAAAGGCCCAAAAAAUGCCCCAAAAUUAGUCAAAAAAUGUCCCAAAAAUACCCCAAAAAUGCCCAAAAAAUGCCCCAAAAAUGCCCAAAAAAUGCCCCAAAAAUAGUCAAAAAAUGUCCCAAAAAUACCCAAAAAAUGUCCCAAAAAUACCCAAAAACAGCCACGAAAACACCCAAAAAUCCGGCCCAAAAAUACCCCAAAAACGGCACCAGAAGCCCCAAAAAAGGCCCAAAAAAUGCCCCAAAAUUAGUCAAAAAAUGUCCCAAAAAUACCCCAAAAAUGCCCAAAAAAUGCCCCAAAAAUGCCCAAAAAAUGCCCCAAAAAUAGUCAAAAAAUGUCCCAAAAAUACCCAAAAAAUGUCCCAAAAAUACCCAAAAACAGCCACGAAAACACCCAAAAAUCCGGCCCAAAAAUACCCCAAAAACGGCACCAGAAGCCCCAAAAAAGGCCCAAAAAAUGCCCCAAAAUUAGUCAAAAAAUGUCCCAAAAAUACCCCAAAAAUGCCCAAAAAAUGCCCCAAAAAUGCCCAAAAAAUGCCCCAAAAAUAGUCAAAAAAUGUCCCAAAAAUACCCAAAAAAUGUCCCAAAAAUACCCAAAAACAGCCACGAAAACACCCAAAAAUCCGGCCCAAAAAUACCCCAAAAACGGCACCAGAAGCCCCAAAAAAGGCCCAAAAAAUGCCCCAAAAUUAGUCAAAAAAUGUCCCAAAAAUACCCCAAAAAUGCCCAAAAAAUGCCCCAAAAAUGCCCAAAAAAUGCCCCAAAAAUAGUCAAAAAAUGUCCCAAAAAUACCCAAAAAAUGUCCCAAAAAUACCCAAAAACAGCCACGAAAACACCCAAAAAUCCGGCCCAAAAAUACCCCAAAAACGGCACCAGAAGCCCCAAAAAAGGCCCAAAAAAUGCCCCAAAAUUAGUCAAAAAAUGUCCCAAAAAUACCCCAAAAAUGCCCAAAAAAUGCCCCAAAAAUGCCCAAAAAAUGCCCCAAAAAUAGUCAAAAAAUGUCCCAAAAAUACCCAAAAAAUGUCCCAAAAAUACCCAAAAACAGCCACGAAAACACCCAAAAAUCCGGCCCAAAAAUACCCCAAAAACGGCACCAGAAGCCCCAAAAAAGGCCCAAAAAAUGCCCCAAAAUUAGUCAAAAAAUGUCCCAAAAAUACCCCAAAAAUGCCCAAAAAAUGCCCCAAAAAUGCCCAAAAAAUGCCCCAAAAAUAGUCAAAAAAUGUCCCAAAAAUACCCAAAAAAUGUCCCAAAAAUACCCAAAAACAGCCACGAAAACACCCAAAAAUCCGGCCCAAAAAUACCCCAAAAACGGCACCAGAAGCCCCAAAAAAGGCCCAAAAAAUGCCCCAAAAUUAGUCAAAAAAUGUCCCAAAAAUACCCCAAAAAUGCCCAAAAAAUGCCCCAAAAAUGCCCAAAAAAUGCCCCAAAAAUAGUCAAAAAAUGUCCCAAAAAUACCCAAAAAAUGUCCCAAAAAUACCCAAAAACAGCCACGAAAACACCCAAAAAUCCGGCCCAAAAAUACCCCAAAAACGGCACCAGAAGCCCCAAAAAAGGCCCAAAAAAUGCCCCAAAAUUAGUCAAAAAAUGUCCCAAAAAUACCCCAAAAAUGCCCAAAAAAUGCCCCAAAAAUGCCCAAAAAAUGCCCCAAAAAUAGUCAAAAAAUGUCCCAAAAAUACCCAAAAAAUGUCCCAAAAAUACCCAAAAACAGCCACGAAAACACCCAAAAAUCCGGCCCAAAAAUACCCCAAAAACGGCACCAGAAGCCCCAAAAAAGGCCCAAAAAAUGCCCCAAAAUUAGUCAAAAAAUGUCCCAAAAAUACCCCAAAAAUGCCCAAAAAAUGCCCCAAAAAUGCCCAAAAAAUGCCCCAAAAAUAGUCAAAAAAUGUCCCAAAAAUACCCAAAAAAUGUCCCAAAAAUACCCAAAAACAGCCACGAAAACACCCAAAAAUCCGGCCCAAAAAUACCCCAAAAACGGCACCAGAAGCCCCAAAAAAGGCCCAAAAAAUGCCCCAAAAUUAGUCAAAAAAUGUCCCAAAAAUACCCCAAAAAUGCCCAAAAAAUGCCCCAAAAAUGCCCAAAAAAUGCCCCAAAAAUAGCGACCGGUACGGGCCGGUACGGACCAGUACAGAACGGUAUAAACCAGUACCGACCGGUACGGAGCCGUACGGACCAGUACGGACUGGUGUAAACCAGUACAGACCGGUACGGACCAGUAUAAACCAGUACACACUACUAGAAACCAGUAUAAACCAGUAUGGACCAGUAUGCACCGGUAUAAACCAGUAUGGACCAGUAUAAACCAGUACAGACCAGUACAGACCGGUACGGACCGGUAUAAACCAGUACAGACUAGUAGAAACCAGUAUAAACCAGUACGGACCAGUACGGACCGGUAUAAACCAGUACGGACCGGUAUGGACCAGUAUAAACCACUGUGGACCAGUACAGACCGGUAUAAACCAGUACAGACCAGUAUGGACCAGUAUAAACCAGUACGGACCAGUACAGACCAAUAUAAACCAGUACGAACCGGUAUAAACCAGUGCAGACCAGUAUGGACCGCUAUAAACCAGUACAGACCAGCAUAAGCCAGUAUGGACCAGUACAGACCGGUAUAAACCAGUACGGACCAGUAUGGACCAGUAUAAACCAGUACGGACCAGUACAGACCAAUAUAAACCAGUACGAACCGGUAUAAACCAGUGCAGACCAGUAUGGACCGCUAUAAACCAGUACAGACCAGCAUAAGCCAGUAUGGACCAGUACAGACCGGUAUAAACCAGUACGGACCGGUAUAAACCAGUACGGACCGGUACAGACCAGUAUAAACCAGUGAGGACCAGUGUAAACCAGUAUAAACCAGUAUGGACCAAUUCCAGUCGAUCCCAGUUCCUCCCAGUUUGUCCCAGUGC